AGGGCAGUAGCUCAACUGGUAGAGCGGCGGUCUCCAAAACCGCAGGUCGUGGGUUCAAGUCCUACCUGCCCUGCCA
rnacentral:tRNA from 1 species